CGGCAGGCUACACAUGCAGGUCGACGGUAACAGAGAGAGCUUGCUCUUUGCUGACGAGUGGCGCUACGGGUGCGUAACGCGUAUGUAACCUACCUAUAACUGGGGAAUAGCUCAGAGAAAUCUGAAUUAAUACCCCAUAAUAUAUGUCUUUCUCCUGAUCGAUAUAUUAAAGCUCCGGCGGUUAUAGAUGGACAUGCGUGACAUUAGCUAGAUGGUAAGGUAACGGCUUACCAUGGCGACGAUGUCUAGGGGGUCUGAGAGGAUGAUCCCCCACACUGGUACUGAGACACGGACCAGACUCCUACGGGAGGCAGCAGUGAGGAAUAUUGGUCAAUGGACGAAAGUCUGAACCAGCCAUGCCGCGUGCAGGAUGACGGCCCUACGGGUUGUAAACUGCUUUUAUUUAGGAAGAAACCUCUCUACGUGUAGAGAGCUGACGGUACUAAACGAAUAAGCAUCGGCUAACUCCGUGCCAGCAGCCGCGGUAAUACGGAGGAUACAAGCGUUAUCCGGAUUUAUUGGGUUUAAAGGGUGCGCAGGCGGAAUUAUAAGUCAGUGGUGAAAUCUUGCAGCUUAACUGCAAAACUGCCAUUGAUACUGUUUUUCUUGAGUGUAGUUGGAGUAGACGGAAUGUGUUGUGUAGCGGUGAAAUGCAUUGAUAUAACACAGAACACC
rnacentral:rRNA from 1 species